rnacentral:rRNA from 1 species
CCUACGGGAGACAGCAGUAGGGAAUAUUGCUCAAUGGGGGCAACCCUGAAGCAGCAACGCCGCGUGGAGGAUGAAGGUUUUAGGAUUGUAAACUCCUUUUGUGAGAGAAGAUAAUGACGGUAUCCCACGAAUAAGCACCAGCUAACUCCGUGCCAGCAGCCGCGGUAAUACGGAGGGUGCAAGCGUUACUCGGAAUCACUGGGCGUAAAGGGGGCGCAGGCGGGGUUGGAAGUCAGAUGUGAAAUCCUGUAGCUGAACUACAGAACUGCAUUUGAAACUAUGAGUCUAGAGUUUUGGAGAGGUAGGUCGAAUUCUUUGUGUAGCGGUCCAAUCCGUAGAUAUCACGAGGAAUACUCAUUGCGACGGCGACCUACUGGAACAUUACUGACGCUCAUGCACGAAAGCGUGGGGAGCAAACAGGAUUAGCUACCCUUGUAGUC